CGGACGGGUGAGUAACACGUGGAUAACUUACCUAUAAGACUGGGAUAACUUCGGGAAACCGGAGCUAAUACCGGAUAAUAUAUUGAACCGCAUGGUUCAAUAGUGAAAGACGGUUUUGCUGUCACUUAUAGAUGGAUCCGCGCCGCAUUAGCUAGUUGGUAAGGUAACGGCUUACCAAGGCAACGAUGCGUAGCCGACCUGAGAGGGUGAUCGGCCACACUGGAACUGAGACACGGUCCAGACUCCUACGGGAGGCAGCAGCA
rnacentral:rRNA from 1 species